rnacentral:snoRNA from 1 species
UUGCAUAUGGAAGUACCUCAUCCCUCUAGAAGCAAGAAUACAUCCAUAACAUGCUACAAUGAAAAAGACACCCCAACCUUACAGUGGAGGUUGAAUUGUGGUAUAUUUUUCCAGCAUAA